AGAAGCUUAGGUUAACCCCAGACCGGGAGCCUUCAAAGCUCCAAGUAAAUAACAACUAUUUAGCUCCUG
rnacentral:tRNA from 1 species